rnacentral:rRNA from 1 species
UACGUAGGGGGCAAGCGUUGUCCGGAUUCAUUGGGCGGAAAGAGCGUGUAGGCGGCCAGGUAGGUCGGGUGUGAAAACUGGAGGCUCAACCUUCAGAGGUCGACCGAAACCAUCUGGCUAGAGUCCGGGAGAGGAGAGUGGAAUUCCUGGUGUAGCGGUGAAAUGCGCAGAUAUCAGGAAGAACACCCGUGGCGAAAGCGGCUCUCUGGAACGGUACUGACGCUGAGACGCGAAAGCGUGGGGAGCGAACAGG